AGAGUGAUUUCAGGCUGUCUGCGCCGUACUCGACAUGGACCUUGCCGGAAAUAAUAACUAAUCAACAUGGACAACUCUGAUAUCAUCGUUCUCGUCUUAAUAGGUACCACAAAUAAAUGUUGCAGUUUACAGUUGAACUGAUGUAUGAUCACUUUUAAGGCCGUCAAACACUUUGACCGUGUCUGGCAGCCUGUGUCUGUCUCUGGAUCCCCGCGCAGAGGCAUGUGUGGACAAUAGCUAGGGAUUUUCCGCUACAGCACUCUGCCUUCUGGCCUUCUGGGUUCAUCUUCACGGCACGGACCUGUGGCAAGAUCUCAAAAGAAAAAGGAAAAAAACGAUCAAUGAUUUGACAGACGUGGCAGAAAUGUCGUCGACGUCAAAUGACAUGGCGGCAAAUCGACCUUCCGAAUGUACUGUACUACUCCUAUCUAUCAGCAACUCAAACGCAUUUACACGCGUCCUUUGCGAGUAGGAGUAGACAUUGCUCCGUACAGCUAGCGCAAG
rnacentral:lncRNA from 1 species